UACGUAGGGGGGCAAGCGUUGUCCGGAUUUAUUGGGCGUAAAGAGCGUGUAGGCGGCCCAGGGUAGGUCUGCUGUGAAAACUCGAGGCUUAACCUCGAGCUGUCGGCGGAAACCAUCUGGCUAGAGUCCGGAAGAGGAGAAUGGAAUUCCCGGUGUAGCGGUGAAAUGCGCAGAUAUCGGGAAGAACACCCGUGGCGAAGGCGGUUCUCUGGGCCGUGACCCUGACGCUGAGGAGCGAAAGCGUGGGGAGCGAACAGG
rnacentral:rRNA from 1 species